UACGGGAGGCAGCAGUGGGGAAUAUUGCACAAUGGGCGCAAGCCUGAUGCAACGACGCCGCGUGCGGGAUGGAGGCCUUCGGGUUGUAAACCGCUUUUGAUCGGGAGCAAGCCCUUCGGGGUGAGUGUACCUUUCGAAUAAGCACCGACUAACUACGUGCCAGCAGCCGCGGUAAU
rnacentral:rRNA from 1 species